rnacentral:rRNA from 1 species
AAUAUUGGACAAUGGGCGAAAGCCUGAUCCAGCCAUGCCGCGUGUGUGAAGAAGGUCUUCGGAUUGUAAAGCACUUUAAGUUGGGAGGAAGGGCAGUAAGUUAAUACCUUGCUGUUUUGACGUUACCGACAGAAUAAGCACCGGCUAACUCUGUGCCAGCAGCCGCGGUAAUACAGAGGGUGCAAGCGUUAAUCGGAAUUACUGGGCGUAAAGCGCGCGUAGGUGGUUUGUUAAGUUGGAUG